rnacentral:lncRNA from 1 species
UACAUAUGUAACUAACCUGCACAUUGUACACAUGUACCCUAAAACUUAAAGUAUAAUAAUAAUAAAAAAAAAAUUGAAAAAAAAAUUAAACAGAUUGAAAGCCGUGUCCAACUGCUAAAUUUAUAUCCUCCCUGACCACUACACCCCUUAAUUAGCCUUGACAAAAAAAAAAAAAAACACAAUUCCCAUUAUCAAUUUCAGACGGAAAAUCAUUUAUAGUCAGACUAGAUUUUCUUGAAAUUCAUCAUAUAAUAAACUAAUGAUUACUAAGUUCUUUGAUAAGCACAGUCAAGGAGGAAAAACUGGGCAUUAUUUGUUCAUUCGAUUAGUCUUUUUUUUAAUUAAUUAAUUUUCUUUUUUAAAGACAGGGUAUCUCUCUGUAGCCCAGGCUGGAAUGCAAUCACACGAUCUCGGCUUACUGCAACCUCUGCCUCCCCAGCUCAAGCGAUUCUCCCACCUCAGCCUGUUGAGUAGCUGGGACUACAGACACGUACCACUAUGCCCCGCUAAUUUCUUUGUAUUUUUGUAGAGAUGGAUUUUUGCCAUGUUGCCCAGGCUGGUCUCGAACUCCUGGGCUUAAGUGAUCCACCCGCCUUGGCCUCCCAAAGUGCUGGGACUACAGGCAUGAGCCACCAUGCCUGGUCUCAACUAGUCAUUAUUGAUCAAGUGAACAAAAAUAGCAGAGGAAGGGACCUCCAGAAACCCUCUGCUCCAUAAAAGCAAUGAGAACUCUGGCAAAAAUUAUCAGAACCAACUUGUUUCAAAACUCUGAAAAUAAGCCAAAGGCUUGCAGCUAUCCGAGGAAUUUCUUCAAGAAAAAUGACUGAGUCUCAAUAAGAACAGUGAGGUUUGUGGCAUUUAAACUUGCCCUAUUCCCAUCUACCCAUCUCCAGGUUCCCUGGAGCAUUGAAAACCAGUACUCCACAAUCAUGAUGAAAAUGUAUGUGUGUACUAUUGAGGUGAGAAAGGCCUCUUUAAGCACAACUCAAAACUCAGAAGACAUAAAGAAAAAAUAAUAAAUUUUGUGAUAAAAUGUAACAGUCCCAUUCCAAAAACCAAAGACACCAGUUCAAAAUUAAAAGAGAAACAACAGACUAGAAGAAAACAUUUGUAACAUACAUAACAAAGGAUUAAUAGCCAGAAUAUGAAAACUCCUACAAAUCAAUGAGAUGAACAACCCAGUUUUUUAAAUGAAAAGUAUAUGUGAAAAGGCAAUUCAUAGAAAAAAUAUAUAAAUGACCAGUAAUUAUAUUAAAAGAUUACUAAUUUCAUAAUUGAGAAAUAUAAUUAAACAAGAUAGUUCCUGCAAAACAAGGUGGCAAAAUUUCUUUUUCUCUUAAGAAAAAGAUAUUUGCAUUUUUCCCUUUUAUUUUUCUCUAGGGAGUCUCUUGAUUUCUAACUGUAUGCUUGAUCUUUUUACUAGUUUCUAUGAGACCUAGGUC